rnacentral:sRNA from 1 species
GCUCAGACUACAGGUGCCUGCUACCAUGCCCGGCUAAUUUUUAGUAUUUUUAGCAGAGACAGGGUUUCACCGUGUUAGCCAGGAUGAUCUCGAUCUCCUGACCUCAUGAUCCGUCCGCCUCAGCCUCCCAAAGUGCUGGGAUUACAGGCAUGAGCCACCGCGCCCGGCCUGGGUCUGUUCUGUUUUAAAGCCUGCUUUUUAUCCUUUAAAAACCCUGAGACUCAAGGAGGCAACCCGAGUUGUGAGCUGGUUGUUUGCCUAGCACUUUGGCCCCACUUCUAUGUUGUUUUCCCACCAACAGGAUUUCCAAUUACCAAAACAAAAGUGAUCCUCAAGGUAGAGCAAGGACAAGAGCCAUGGAUGGUGGAGGGAGUGAAUCCACACCAGAGCUCUCCAGAAUCUGACUGCCCACUUGUUGAUGAACCAGGGAAGCAUCGGGAAAGCAAAGACAAUUUUUUGAAGUCAGUUUUGCUCACGUUCAAUAAAAUUCUGACUAUGGAGAGAAUCCACCAUUAUAAUAUGAGCACAAGUCUUAAUCCAAUGA